rnacentral:rRNA from 1 species
AUUGAACGCUGGCGGCAGGCCUAACACAUGCAAGUCGAGCGGAUGAAGGGAGCUUGCUCCUGGAUUCAGCGGCGGACGGGUGAGUAAUGCCUAGGAAUCUGCCUGGUAGUGGGGGAUAACGUCCGGAAACGGGCGCUAAUACCGCAUACGUCCUGAGGGAGAAAGUGGGGGAUCUUCGGACCUCACGCUAUCAGAUGAGCCUAGGUCGGAUUAGCUAGUUGGUGGGGUAAAGGCCUACCAAGGCGACGAUCCGUAACUGGUCUGAGAGGAUGAUCAGUCAAACGGGAACUGAGAAAGGGUCCAGACCCCUAGGGGGGGCAGAGGGGGGGAAUUUUGGAAAGUGGGCGAAAGCCGGACCCAGCCAUGCCGGGGGGGUGAAGAAGGUUUUCGGUUUGAAAAGCCCUUUAAGUUGGGAGGAAGGGCAGUAAGUUAAUACCUUGCUGUUUGGACGUUCCCAACAAAAAAAGCCCCGGCUAACUUCGU